rnacentral:rRNA from 1 species
UACCCGGAGAAGAAGCCCCGGCUAACUUCGUGCCAGCAGCCGCGGUAAUACGAAGGGGGCUAGCGUUGCUCGGAAUUACUGGGCGUAAAGGGAGCGUAGGCGGACAUUUAAGUCAGGGGUGAAAUCCCGGGGCUCAACCUCGGAAUUGCCUUUGAUACUGGGUGUCUUGAGUAUGAGAGAGGUAUGUGGAACUCCGAGUGUAGAGGUGAAAUUCGUAGAUAUUCGGAAGAACACCAGUGGCGAAGGCGACAUACUGGCUCAUUACUGACGCUGAGGCUCGAAAGCGUGGGGAGCAAACAGGAUUAGAUACCCUGGUAGUCCACGCCGUAAACGAUGAUUGCUAGUUGUCGGGAUGCAUGCAUUUCGGUGACGCAGCUAACGCAUUAAGCAAUCCGCCUGGGGAGUACGGUCGCAAGAUUAAAACU